GUGAGUCAUCGAAUCUUUGAACGCAUCUUGCGCCCUUUGGUAUUCCGAGGGGCAUGCCUGUUUGAGUGUCGCAUUACUCUCAACCCUGGACCGUUCAUCGGCUUGGGCUUGGACCGUGGCCGAACGGCCGGCGUCGUCGACGUCUGGCCCGGCCGAAAUGGAUGCGGAGCGAUGCCGACCGCGACGACCGAGCGUUGUAGAACCUCGCAAGGUGUUGCCGGCGCUGCUCUCCAGUCACAUUCUUCGACCUCAAAUCAGGUAGGACUACCCGCUGAACUUAAGCAUAUCAAUAAGCGGAGGA
rnacentral:misc_RNA from 1 species